CCAAUAGCAUAUAUUAAAGUUGCUGUGGUUAAAAAGCUCGUAGUUGAAUUUCGGGAUUGAUGCAUCGGUCGUGCCUUAAGGGGUAUGAACUGGUGUAGCCAAUUUCUCACCUUCUGGUGAAUUGUGACGUCCUUAAUUGGGUGUUUCAAUGAACUAGGACUUUUACUUUGAAAAAAUUAGAGUGUUUAAAGCAGGCAUUUUUGCUUGAAU
rnacentral:rRNA from 1 species